CAAACGGCUGCACUGAUGCCCAUUGUUGCACCUUACGUCCUUGAAAUGCAGGGCGGGGACGCCCAGAAAUAAUAAUCAGCAGGCUAAUUCUGUCUCCAUACAAUGAGCCUGCUGUUGAUUGACUUCGGGGCAUUCGGGCAAAAUUCAGUGAGCUCAUGUUUAACGUGAACCCAAAGGCGCUGUUAACGUCCCGCGACAUGAAACCCUGCGCACACGAAAGAGCAGAGCCUGGUCGUAACGCGGUGAAGCGGUCGCUCGCUGUGAAGCGCUGGCGCGGCGCAGGAAGUGUCUGCAGACGUAGCAGCGGCAGCUUUGAGCGGCGGGGAGGAAAUCCAAUGACGAUAAGGAAAAGCUCGCAACACCCUCCGACAUUCUCCAAUCAUCGACAGAGCAGGACUUCCUGACCAGCUCAUUUUUCCAGGACACCUCUUAUCAAUACAGACGACAACGUGUGGCUCUAGAUCUUACAACCUCGAUACAGCCCCCCCCCCCUUUCCAGCCAGCAUGUCAGGUCAUACUCUAGCAACAGGAUGCGUUUGCUCAAUGAAACACCGACCACCGUGUAUUUUGUACAGCCACGUUUUUAUUUGUAUCAGAUUGCCUGGAAAACAAAAAGACAGACUAGUUCUUGUAGCCACGGCUGGCUCUGCGGCCACGAGCUCUCUCGAACUUCCUGCCCUUGGAGCGCACAUAGGGCCUGGAGGAAAAUAGGAUGAAACCAGUUAGUUUAAAAAAAGUGAUGUGCCAUUGACCUAAUGCAGAGUUGAUGACAAAUGUUUACAGCCAACAGAGAGAUUCAUGGAGUAUGCCCAACCUUUGAAAAAUGCAUUCGGACACUUUACUGAUCAAUGGUUACUUAUAUUGCCAUAGUAUUCUCUAAAGACUGAAUGUAACCAUGUUUGAUCAAAAGGUAAUAAUGUUGGUAUUAAUUCUACUCCAGCAAGAGGGAAGGCAAUAAUAAAGAACUCAAUACAUCUAAAAUGUAAAGGCAGGGCAAAAAAAUUGAAGAAAAACUGAUAACUUGAGAUCAGACUGAGCGUAAUAACAAAAACUUCCUUAUUUGCAACUGUUCUACGUUUACCAACACAUCGACUGUAGACAUACUUGGUGUGGCUGUGAGGGGUUCCAGGAGCUUUUCCAAAGUGCCUGUACACCUCUCUGGCUUUGCGGGGUCCUAAAAAAAACAAAAACAGAUUGUCAAAUAUUCCUUUGCAAGCAUUUCUCAACGUCAUACAAAGUUCAAGUAUUCGUAAACUGCA